rnacentral:rRNA from 1 species
CCUACGGGAGGCAGCAGUGGGGAAUAUUGGACAAUGGGCGCAAGCUGGAUCCAGCCAUACCGCGUGGGUGAAGAAGGCCUUCGGGUUGUAAAACCCUUUUGUUGGGAAAGAAAUCCAGCCGGCUAAUACCUGGUUGGGAUGACGGUACCCAAAGAAUAAGCACCGGCUAACUUCGUGCCAGCAGCCGCGGUAAUACGAAGGGUGCAAGCGUUACUCGGAAUUACUGGGCGUAAAGCGUGCGUAGGUGGUUAUUUAAGUCCGUUGUGAAAGCCCUGGGCUCAACCUGGGAACUGCAGUGGAUACUGGAUGACUAGAAUGUGGUAGAGGGUAGCGGAAUUCCUGGUGUAGCAGUGAAAUGCGUAGAGAUCAGGAGGAACAUCCAUGGCGAAGGCAGCUACCUGGACCAACAUUGACACUGAGGCACGAAAGCGUGGGGAGCAAACAGGAUUAGAUACCCUGGCAGUCCACGCCCUAAACGAUGCGAACUGGAUGUUGGGUGCAAUUUGGCACGCAGUAUCGAAGCUAACGCGUUAAGUUCGCCGCCUGGGGAGUACGGUCGCAAGACUGAAACUCAAAGGAAUUGACGGGG